ACACGACUACAUUAGAUACCCCGGUAGUCCCAGCCCUAAACGAUGCGCGUUAGGUGUAUCGGUGACCACGAGUCACCGAGGUGCCGAAGGGAAACCGUGAAACGUGCCGCCUGGGAAGUACGGUCGCAAGGCUGAAACUUAAAGGAAUUGGCGGGAGCACCACAACGGGUGGAGCCUGCGGUUUAAUUGGACUCAACGCCGGGAAGCUCACCGGAUAAGACAGCGGAAUGAUUGCCGGGCUGAAGACCCUGCAUGACCAGCUG
rnacentral:rRNA from 1 species